rnacentral:rRNA from 1 species
GGGGAUAACUACUGGAAACGGUAGCUAAUACCGCAUAACGUCGCAAGACCAAAGAGGGGGGCCUUCGGGCCUCUUGCCAUCGGAUGUGCCCAGAUGGGAUUAGCUUGUUGGUGGGGUAACGGCUCACCAAGGCGACGAUCCCUAGCUGGUCUGAGAGGAUGACCAGCCACACUGGAACUGAGACACGGUCCAGACUCCUACGGGAGGCAGCAGUGGGGAAUAUUGCACAAUGGGCGCAAGCCUGAUGCAGCCAUGCCGCGUGUAUGAAGAAGGCCUUCGGGUUGUAAAGUACUUUCAGCGGGGAGGAAGGGAGUAAAGUUAAUACCUUUACUCAUUGACGUUACCCGCAGAAGAAGCACCGGCUAACUCCGUGCCAGCAGCCGCGGUAAUACGGAGGGUGCAAGCGUUAAUCGGAAUUACUGGGCGUAAAGCGCACGCAGGCGGUUUGUUAAGUCAGAUGUGAAAUCCCCGGGCUCAACCUGGGAACUGCAUCUGAUACUGGCAAGCUUGAGUCUCGUAGAGGGGGGUAGAAUUCCAGGUGUAGCGGUGAAAUGCGUAGAGAUCUGGAGGAAUACCGGUGGCGAAGGCGGCCCCCUGGACGAAGACUGACGCUCAGGUGCGAAAGCGUGGGGAGCAAACAGGAUUAGAUACCCU